rnacentral:hammerhead_ribozyme from 1 species
CAAUGUUGAGGAGUCCCACAAUAGGACGAAACGGCCGUUCAGUGC